rnacentral:piRNA from 1 species
UGGGAUGGUCCACAUAAAACGAAUAACAUU